rnacentral:rRNA from 1 species
UACGGGAGGCAGCAGUGGGGAAUAUUGCACAAUGGGCGCAAGCCUGAUGCAGCCAUGCCGCGUGUAUGAAGAAGGCCUUCGGGUUGUAAAGUACUUUCAGUCGUGAGGAAGGUGUUAAGGUUAAUAACCUUAGCAAUUGACGUUAGCGACAGAAGAAGCACCGGCUAACUCCGUGCCAGCAGCCGCGGUAAUACGGAGGGUGCGAGCGUUAAUCGGAAUUACUGGGCGUAAAGGGCACGCAGGCGGUUAAUUAAGUUGGAUGUGAAAUCCCCGGGCUUAACCUGGGAAUGGCAUUCAAGACUGGUUAGCUAGAGUCUUGUAGAGGGGGUAGAAUUCCAUGUGUAGCGGUGAAAUGCGUAGAGAUGUGGAGGAAUACCGGGUGGCGAAGGCGGCCCCUGGACAAAGGACUGACGCUCAUGUGCGAAAGCGUGGGGAGCAAACAGGGAUUAGAUACC